rnacentral:rRNA from 1 species
UGGGAACAUACCUUUUGGUUCGGAACAACACAGGGAAACUUGUGCUAAUACCGGAUAAGCCCUUACGGGGAAAGAUUUAUCGCCGAAAGAUUGGCCCGCGUCUGAUUAGCUAGUUGGUGAGGUAACGGCUCACCAAGGCGACGACGGGUAGCUGGUCUGAGAGGAUGAUCAGCCACACUGGAACUGAGACACGGCCCAGACUCCUACGGGAGACAG